AACGAACGCUGGCGGCAGGCCUAACACAUGCAAGUCGAGCGCGCCCUUCGGGGUGAGCGGCGGACGGGUGAGUAACGCGUGGGAACGUGCCCUUUUCUACGGAAUAGCCUCGGGAAACUGAGAGUAAUACCGUAUACGCCCUUUGGGGGAAAGAUUUAUCGGAAAAGGAUCGGCCCGCGUUGGAUUAGGUAGUUGGUGGGGUAAUGGCCUACCAAGCCGACGAUCCAUAGCUGGUUUGAGAGGAUGAUCAGCCACACUGGGACUGAGACACGGCCCAGACUCCUACGGGAGGCAGCAGUGGGGAAUCUUAGACAAUGGGGGCAACCCUGAUCUAGCCAUGCCGCGUGAGUGAUGAAGGCCUUAGGGUUGUAAAGCUCUUUCAGCUGGGAAGAUAAUGACGGUACCAGCAGAAGAAGCCGCGGCUAACUCCGUG
rnacentral:rRNA from 1 species